CAGCGGAGGAAGAGGUCUGCAUGCCGGACAACCCCAAGAAGAAGUGACCACAAGAGUUUGGCAUAGUCGGCAGGAUACUUGGAUCGGAUCCUCGGGACAGCUCUGCAAAAUCUACGAUCCUGGUCGUGGGCGUAUCAGUGCUGGCAACAAGGUCGGGGAUCAUCACUGCUCAUCCCACACCGCAGGAGGAACUUUGGUACAGCACGUACAGUGCCGAAUGCGACACGCAAC